rnacentral:lncRNA from 1 species
UACACUAUCAAAGAGGAAGAGGUACAAACAAAGAGGAAGAGGUACAAACGAAAAUGAAGAAUCGUGUUACAACAUCCCUGAAUGAUAAUUAACUAAGAAAAUCACCCUAACAAAAUUACAGAAACACCACAUCACAUAUAGUUUAAUGAGUUUAACUUAUAUACGUUGACAGUAUAAAUAAUUUAGUAAAUAGUGUACAAAUUUUUUACAUUGUCGAUGUAUAUAAGUUAAACUCUUAAAUACAUUUGAAUCAAAUUAAGUACUUUUACUGAAUAUGAGCAUACACCAGAGAUUAAAGCUGGUUAAUUAUAUAACCGGACUACUCAGAAGUGGAAUCAGAGGGGUUAAUCUUUUUCUUGUCGUUCUUGAAAGAGGACACCACAGCUUUCACCACCUUUUCAGCAGCCAUGGCUUUUACUGAUUUCUUGUCUUUCUUAGGAAACACACUUCCUUUCUUUGAUGUGCCUUCACCAUAUCCUUUUCCAUUUCCAUUUUUCUCCAUCUCUCUUUCUAGCUCUCAGAGUUUAUGUAUUUAUAUGAGGAAGUGUAAUCUAUUUCUUUAAUUUGUUGCUUAAGUUGUGAUGCUUUGAAGAGUAUAUUGAGUGCGGUAUUUAUAAGAGUAGAGGCUUCGUUUAUGGUCUUCUUCUGAAUAUUUUCAUGUAAUUUCUGGUUGAAUUUCUGAGUUAGCUCAUGUAAGAUUGAAUGAAGAUUGUUGUUUAUUUCUUGGAUGGAAUAUACAUGUGUGUGUGGGUUUUUGGUUUGAAGUCUUGUGUUACAAAAAAUAGUUCGUAUGGAUGAGCCAGGAAACUUUUAAUUGUUUAAGCUAAAUUAUGCUGUUAUUUCCCUUGCAUUGGUGAAUAUUUCAUCCUUUCUUAUUCUAUAUAUGUUUACUUGUUUGAGAGGGAAACUCAGAUUUUCUUACUCGGUUCUUCUUCUUCUUCUUUGUUAUUUCUCCUCACUUCUCCUCUGAAUUUUAAUCUCCAUUUGUGUGUGUGUGUGUGUUAUCGUCUAUGUGUGUGCAUGCAUGCGUGGUUAAACCAGUAUAGAGUACUUAAUAAUUGUGCUGAAUCUGUAUGCAAUUCUAAGGAAACAUUAUAACACUACAAAAAAACGGGUAAACUGAGUAGGUUAGAAACCUCCGCUAUUUGCAGUCACGGCGGUUGAGCAGACCCCGUAGUAAGCAUCGCCACUAUUAAUUUGCGGCAGAUAAAUGUGGGGUUUCCUGAAUCACCGUGACAGCAAAUAGCGCAAAUUACAAUUUUAACCUCCGCAAUCUUAUGCGCGAAAAUAGAUUUUUAUUUUUUAAAUUUAAUUUUUUUUUGAGUGUAGGAAUUGUAAACCCCCGCAAUUUCUUAUGCGUACACCAUCAGAAUUUGUUCUUAUUUCUUUUUGGGGGUUUUAACCCAAUCUAUUUUUAAAUAUAUUAUAUAGUUGAUAUUUUAUCAUCAAUAUGCCAUUCUUUUUCCCUAAUAUAAAUUGAAAUAUUAAUGCUCAAACCAAAACAUUAAAAUUAAGAAACAUCAACAUUUCAAUAAUCAUGAAAAAUACUAUGACAGAGUAGUAUCAUAUGUCAUCAAGCUAAAUUAUAACAUAGUUAAUCAUCCAUAUUAGUCAGCUAUUACAUUGUCCUAAUAUAUCCACUUCAAUUAAAAUGAAUCUCAAUGGAUGUCACUGAGAUUACUAGCGCGAGAAGAUCUUCUUGCAUCCGUGGGUGAAACGGGUCCACUAAAUGCAUCACUUGACUGCAACAAAAAGUAAAACAAGAAAUUAAGGGGUUGGUUUACAAACAUUUUUGGCAAUUACAUUCAGCAUGCAAGCUCCCUUGAUCAUAAUAAAAACAAGAUACCAAAAAAAUAUUUUAAGAAAAUUUCAUUAUCUUAUACACCUCCAUGUAUAGACAUCUCUAAAACAUCAUCCGUAUAUAGCAACUAUUCUUUAUAAAAACCAAGUUUUUGUCGGAACCUAUUUUUUAUGUUAUGUUUUACCUCUCUAUAAUAAUUUUUUACUUAUAAAAGCAAUAUCCAUCAUUAUAGCAAUACGCUCUUUGUAAAGUUAUCCCUCUAUAACAUCCUUGUAGAAUUUCUAAUAAGAGCACCAAUAAUAAGUUUACAAAUUUUGACUUCAACCUACUACUACUUGGAUCGAGAUAGAUGUUAACCUUUUAGAUUGCCUUCACGGGUAAGCUAUCAACUAGUCUUUUGCUGAACGUUUGGACACAAAUCUUCGCUAAUUCAAGCGUUAUAUCGCUAGUAACAGACUGGAAUCUACAGAACAAUUACAGAGUUUUUUCAUCAAUCUUGAAAUAAUUUAGUCUUCUAGUAGCUUUAAAAUAUGUGCUUUAGAAUUUAAAAUCAUUAUACAUUUGCUACGGAUUUAAUAAUGAUGUGUUAGCUUUCUUUUACAUUUAAUUUGUGAAAUUUACAUAUCUUUUGAGUAUUUAAAUUUUAAAAAAAUUCUACUUUUUUAUAUGUAACACAAAAUAUAAAAAAAAUUGGAUAAUUUUACGUGUGUAGGUGUGUUGAUGAGCAAGUUAUUUGCCUUGAAGCAAAUAUUUUCCAGAAAACCGUGUGAGUAUCUUUUAUCAAUCUUACGUGGGGAAGCUCUUUAAAGCAUGUGGAACUCCAGGGAUUAUUUAGAUAAUUUUGGAGAGCUAAUUACGAAGGGGUGAAUAUUUGUUGUCAAUGUAUGUAUAUACAACAAAAAUGAAGUGCACUAUCGAUAUUUCUCUACGGAGGUAGUGACAUAUAUAGUUAAGUUAUUUAAUAAUGUGAGUAUAUAUAUUAAUUAACUAUAGUUAAGUGAGAAUAGUCUACGUGCAAAAUUGUUACGCGGCGCCUUCCUGAAAUAUCUUGGAAGGGCGACGUAAGGCUAAGCAACCGAUGUCCGUGCAGUUAAUGUCCGCCUAUUGGGGUCCCCUCCGUAUACUAGACGAGACUGUCAGUGCCAUACGGAAAGACCAGUGUCAAGAGCAAUUGAGAGAACAGAAAAGAGAAUGAGAAUAAAAGAAUGCUUGAUUGCGUUAACAAAAGCUACUACAGAAAAGCAACACAGUGUCGAGGGAGAGAGACACCAGUAUAGAGAAUUGUUUGCUUGCUUGAAAGUUUGAUUGCUUGAUCCCCCUAAUAAUGCUUUAAAAAAACCAAAGUUACAGGACUUGACCUAACAAAGCUAGAGAGACAUAAUAGAAAUACAGAAAGUAAAACUAUUCUAUAUUUACACUGAAAAGGGCUUAGAUUCAUACAAGGUAGAAGCAGGUCCGUUGGCAGCAACCUUGUCUUUAGCAUAAGAGUCUGCGCGCGCGGCGCUGUUGGCAUCUGCCUGUGGCUGGGCGCUGGCGAGGGCUAUCGAUGUGGCGACAUAGGCACAUGCGCGCUUGUCACUUGGCGUGGCCAAGACCACGGGGCCGUACAUGGCGCUAGACAUUGGGAGGCUUGCGAGGAUGCUAUGGGGCGCAUCCAAAGAGUCAUGGGACAUGGCUGGAAAGCCGCACAUGACAUUCUCCUCCACCUGAGUUGGAGACGUACUCGGCGCCUUACUUGCAAGAUAAUCAUCGAUCACGCUCUUGUAGGCUUUGAGGUUUUUUCCCCGCUACCAUGUAUUCUCCUCUUUAUCACAGCCCUGCCAUUUCACCAAGAACUCUUGGUGAUCUUUUAUUGAAGCAUGAACCACUCGAUCAUCGAGAAUAGCUUCAACACGCCUUUUACCGGUUGAAUUAGGGCCUCGAAUACUGGGUAUUGUGAGUUGGCUCCGUGAAGGAUCCUCGAUGUCUUUCCGAAAAGUUUUCUGAAGGCUGACAUGGAUGACUGGAUGAAUCUUCCACCAGGCUGGGGUAUUGCAACUUUCCCAAUGCGCUUCUCAAUGGACAAAGCUCCAAUGUACUUUUGCAAAGGCGAGGGUUAUGGACUUUGCAAACAAGUAUCUUUUUGUAAUUUUUACCAUCACUUUGUCUCCUACUUGGUAUUUAAUAAAGCGACGAUUUUGAUCAGCAUGCUUUUUCAUAUGCUUUUUGGCUUUGACAAGACAGCUCCGCACUAUCUCCAAAUUUUGCUUCCAUUCUUUGAGAAGCUAGCAGCUCGAGGAGAUUUUGGCAUGUUUGGAGCAUUCACAGUGUGUGGGAGUAGCAGUUUUUGUCCCGUAACAAUUUCAAAAGCGUUUUUGUUUAUACUAGAGCUCUUUUGUUAAUUGAAACACAGUUGAGUAGCAUCCAUAACCUUCACUCAAUUCUUUUGUGAUCCGGUAACAAAAUGGCGGAGGUAUUCCUCUAGCAUGCUAUUGAACCUCUCCGUCUGGCCAUCGGAUUGCAGAUGGAAUGAAAUGCUUUCCCAAGGUCACUUUGGAACAGGAAAUGGCUCCAAAAGUCCCUCUUGUGUCAAGCAGUCUGACUUGUCUUUCUGGCAUAUUAGGUAAGUCUUCACAUACUACACAACAUCAUCAACUAUUUGAGGCCAAUAAUAAGCUCAGUGUAAAAAUGCCAUGGUGCGUUCUUCACCUGGGUGGCCGGCCCACAAAGUAUCAUGGCAUUCCAUCAGAAGAGUCCUUGGCAGAUCUCCUCCUUUAGGAACAUAAAGUCGGUUCCCUUUCACCUUCAGGAACCUAUCUUCCAUGUAGAACUGGCGAGUCUUACCUUGUCCUACAAAAUUGACCAAAUACUGUGCAACAAGAUCCUUGGUGAUUAGAUCCUGUAUCUAGUCUUUUAUAGUGGUGGCCACUUCGCUCCCCCUUAGGGUUUCGAGUAGGCACAUCGAUGCUAAGUCAGCCCUCCGACUGAGCGCAUCAUUAACUUGGUUAAUCUUCCUACUUCGGUACUCCAGGUUGAAGCUAAAUUGAGCUAGGAGUUCCUGCCACCUGACUUGUCGGCCAUUCAGCUUUGGCUGGGUCAUGAAAUGGCUAACGGCUGUGUUGUGUGUCUUGAUCACGAACGGGAUUCCCAGUAGAUAGUGCCUCCAAAGGCGUAAGCAGUGGAUGACAGACAAUAAUCUUUUUCAUGGGCGGCAUAGCGUCGUUCUGCAUCCUUCAACUUCCGGCUCUCGUACGCCAUUGGAUGCUCCUCUUGUAGCAAGACUCCACCCAGAGCAUAGUCAGAGACAUUUGUUUGUACUUCGAACGGCUUGGCCAACUUAGGAAGGGCCAAGACGGGGCUACUAGAUAUAGCCAUUUUCAAUGCGUUAAAGGCCUCUGCUCGCCUGGGACCCCAAUCCCAGGGCAUGAAUUUCUUUAGGAGUUCUGUCAACGGAACUGCAGUGAGAGAGAAAUUUUACACAAAUCAUUGAUAAAAGUUUCAUAUGCCAAGGAACGCCCUCAAGGCGUGGAUAUCCUUAGGCGGCGGCCAAUCUAUGACAGCCUGAAUCUUAUGUUAGUCCAUCUUGAUCCACCCUUCCUCGAUGAAAUAUUCGAGGAAGUCAAUCUAUUUUUGGGCGAAGGAGCACUUGGAUAGCUUCACAUAUAAUUUGUGCUCCCACAGUCGGGCUAGGACCUUCCGCAGGUACUCCAGGUUGUCCUUCAGUUUUUUGCUAUAUACUACAAUGCCGUCCAAGUAGACCACUAUGGAUUCGUCAAUAUACUCUCGAAAGACUUGGUUCAUCAGGGUGAAAAAUGUGGCUAGAUCAUUAGUCAAGCCGAAUGGCAUGACCAGGAAGUCGUACGACCUAUAUCUUGUCACACAGGUCCUCUUGUGUUCAUCUCCCUCAGCAAUCUAAACUUGCGAGUAACCUGUCUUCAGGUCUAUUUUCGUGAACAUUAUAGAACCACUCAAUCUAUCAAACAAGUCUGCCAUUAGCGGGAUAGGGUACUUUUUAUUCAUGGUGAUUUUAUUUAGGGCCCGAUAAUCCCCACAAGUCAUAGGGUGCCAUCUUGUUUCUUUUGGAAUAGCACAGGGGACCCAUAAGGGGACUUGGAGGGCACAAUGAUCCCCGUAUCCAGCAUUUUCGUCAACUGUCUCCAAAGCUCCGUGAGUUCGGGUUGUGACAUCCUAUAAGGCACCCGGGCGGGUUGCUUCGCACCAGGCACCAACUCAAUCUCAUGGUCCACGGUGUGCCUAGGUGGGAGUCGCUUUGGCAUGUCCUGUGGCAAGACAUCUUAAAACUCCUUUAGCAGCUCCUUAACGGGUACAAGAAGGGACCCGAAGAUCGUUCAAUAUCUUCAAUACAGAGGGUAUCCAGGAACAUAGGUUCAUGUCUUUUGACUCCCUUCUUCAACUACAAGGCCAAGAUGUUCUCUGCGGCCAUCUUUAUGGUUUGUGCAUGGAUAAUGCAGGGCUGGGCCCCGUUUGCUCUCAUUAUCAACAGUUUGUCUGCAUAAGGUACAGGAAUGGUGUUGGUUUGCCUCAUGAAUGCCAAUCCAACUAUCAGCUCAGAGUCAUUUGUGAUCACCACACGCAAGUUGAAUUUUCCUUCAUAAAGACCAAGCUUCACCACCACUCUUUUGGCUAUUCCACCCAUUAGCUUAGGCAGUGAGUAGAUAGCUUUGAUACAACCUCUGCCCGUCCUCACAACUAGAAGAAGGCGCUCUACCUGAGUUGAGGCUAAGUAGUUCUGAGUAGCGCCCGUGUCUAUCAUCGCCCGAAUGGGCUUGCCAUUAACUUUCAUCUCGACGAACAUCAAGGUCUUCUCCGGGGUUAAGAGGAGGCCCCUCAACCGCCUUCUAUUUCCCUUUCUUGGUGCUUGGGCAUGUGUCGUGACCCAAAUCCGUAAUAGGUCGAGACUGCACCUAACGCUGCCGUUAGGCAAGCCCACAAGUGAAACUACUAUUUAUUUACCCCUUUUUUAACAUAUUUUAAUAUAGAAAUUCUUUCUUUUUAGAGAAUAGUUUAACUAGCUUUCAUGCAACUGUAAUAAGUCUUUUUAAAAAACAAUGCCAACAUAAUAAGUACAUACUCUGCGAUGAUAAAAAUAACAAGUAUACCAGUACAUAAAUCCUACAAAUCUCCAAAACCCGGCGUCACAAGUACAUGAGCAAUCUAGAGAAUAUACAAAACUACUAAAACUAUUGUCUGAAAGUAAUAGACAGGAAUAGUAAAUAAGGUGGAAGGAAACUACGGUGCUAUGGAUCAUAGCAAGGCAAGCAGCUCAUCACUAAAUCUCGGUAGAUGAUCGACUACACACUCGCAUGGCCACUGGUGGAACCUCUCUCAGUGCCUGCACAUCAGUGCAGAAGUGUAGCGUGAGUACAGAAAACAAUGUGUACCCAGUGUAUCUAGUCUAACCUUGAAGAAGUAGUGACGAGAUGUCGACAUGACACUUACUAGAGGUCAAUAAUAAUAAUAUAAAUGCUUAAAGUAGACAUGGUGAGCAUACAACAGGUAUCAAUGAGACAAAUAAAAGCAACUACAAUAAAUACAACAAGAGUCUGUAACACACCACCAACAUCUUGUAACUGGCCGUGACGGUCCUAACUCAAUUAUAUCCAAACUGGAACUCGUUUCGAUUAUUAAGCACAAAGUUGCCGAGGCGAGCGGACCGAUCCCAUAAGAAUAGUGAUAAUCAGUACUGCUGAGGCGAAUGGCCUGAUCCCAUAAGAUUAGUGUUACCAUCAUACUACCGAGGCGAAUGGCCCGAUCCCAUAAGAGUGUUGUUAUCGUACUUUCGAGGCGAAUGGCCUGAUCCCAUAAGAGUGGUGUUAUCAAACUGCCGAGGCAAACGGCCCGAUCCCAUUAGAGUAGAGAAGUUUACCUCGCUCACGGAAGUACUUACGAGACGAGAAGUCAUGGAUUUGUUUAUAGUUAUUAAGUAUUCCUCAAUUUUCCGAAAUAAGAAGGCUAAGUUGAUAAUUGCGACUUUAAAUCCCUAGUCUCAGCUUUAUUCAAGAGAGUUAAUACGCAUGAUAAACACAACAGUACAAUUAAAAGCAUGAUUUGGAUCUAAAUCUACCCAGACAUAUCAUGGAAUAUAGAUACGCACGCACUCUCAUCACCUCGUGCGUACGCAACUCCCCACAUAACUAAUACACAACAAAGAUACACUUAAGGGGAUGAGUUCCCUCUUACAAGAUUAGGCAAGAGACUUACCUCGUUCCUAAGCUCAGUUCCGGUCCACUAAUCCGCUCUAAAAGCCCAGGGUCGAUGCCGAACAAUCCGAAAUUAGUCAACUAUUAUAUAAUUUAAUCAAUAUAUAACAAAAGUUCAUAAUUUAGCUAUUAGAUUAAUUACCCAACCCAAAUUGAAAGAUUCCUAAAAUUUACCCCCGGGCCCACGUGCCCGGAUUCCGGAAAAAAUUGAAUAUAAUUGUUACCCCUUGCCUCACGAACUCAAAUAUUUAAUUUUUACUUAAUUCCAUAACUAUUUUCGUGGUCAAAUCCCAUUUUUAUUAAAACCUAAGUUUUUCAACUAAACCCAUAAUUUCUAUAUUUGCAUGUUAAGAAUCUACCCAUAAUCCGCGUAUUAAACUCACAUUAAGUAGUAAUUACUUACCUCAUGGUGAUGGGUGAAAACUCCCUCUCCAAGAGCUCCACAAUCGACCACCCCAAGUGAAAAUGAGAGAAAAAGAACCUAAGUCUGAUUUAAAUGCACCCUCAUUGCCCCCAGUGAUUUCGCACCUGCGGAAGCAUCGCCGCUUCUGCGAUGCCGCUCCUGCGUUCGAUGGUCCUCAUAUGUGGAAAAUGCACGAAGCAGGACUGAUUGCACCUGUGGCCAAGCUCCGCAUCUGUAAGCCCGCUUCUGCGGCUCGCCUUACGUACUUGCGACCAUGGCCAUGUUGCAUCCCUCUACAUCUGUGGUCCCUCCAUCGCAGAAGUGAGUUUGCUUCUGCGGACAGUAGCCAGCCCACUCCCAUCCACUUCUGCGAUCUCGCACCUACAGCUAAUUCCACGCAUGUGGGAAAACACCAGACCUGAAGUCACCACCAGCCCCUUAUGUCCAAAUCCGAGUCUGAUUCCAAUCCGUUUCGCAUCCGGGGCCCCGGGACCCCAUCCAAUCACAGUCACACAUCCAACAAUAUAAUACGGACACGCUCGCGUGGUCGAAACACCAAAACAACAUCUAGAAUUACGAAUUUGGAUGCCAAAAUGUAUGAAUUUGACAUAAAACUCAAAAAUUUCUAAAAACACAUCCGCGCGUCCGAUUCCUAUCAAAUCAACUCUGAAUGACGCCAAAUUUUGCGUGCAAGUCUUAAAUCACCAUACAGAACUAUUCUUAGGCUCGGAAUCCCAAUGGACCUCAAUAACAUUAAAGCCUACUCUAAACCAAACUUAAAAAACUUGGAAAACCUUCAAUGCGCCAUCAUUCAAUAUUAAGCACUGAAACACUCCCGGGUCAUCCGAAACCCGAUCCGAACACAUGCUCAUUUCCAAAAUCAUCAUACAAAUCUAUUGGGACCAUCAAAUACCGGUUCUGAGGUCAUUUAUUCAAAACGUUGACUCAAGUCAAACUUAACAAUUAUAGGCUACUAUUAAGGAACUAAGUGUUCCGAUUUCAACCCAAACCCCUUCCAAACCUAAACCAACCGUCCUCGCAAGUCAUAAAAUAGUAAAAUCACAUAUGGGGAGUCUUAAUUAGGGAAGCGGGGCUCUAGAAAGUAAAAUGACUGGUCAGGUCGUUGCAUUCUCCACCUCUUACACAAACGUUCAUCCUCGAACGGGUUUAGAAUCAUACCUAGAGUGCUGAAAUGGUGCGGAUAUCUUCUCCUCAUGUCCUCCUCGGCCUCCCAAGUCGCUUCCUCGACUGGUUGACCCCUCCACUCGACCUUCAUCACAACAAUCUUCUUAGGCCUCGACUGGCGAACCUGCCUGUCAAUAAUGGCAACUAGCUCCUCUUCAUAACCCAAGCUCUUAUCUAACUGAACCGUGCUGUAAUAUAGAAUGUGCGACCUAUCGUCAUGAUACCUCCAGAGCAUAAACACAUGAAAGACCGGAUGAACUCUUGAUAAACUAGGAGACAAAGAAAACUCAUAAGCAACAUCCCCAACUCGCUGCAUCACCUCAAAUGGGCCAAUAAACUUUGGGCUCAGCUUGUCGUUCUUCCCGAACCUAAUGAUUUCCAUCAUCAACAAAACCUUUAAGACAUCCUUCUCGCCCACCAUAAAUGAUAAAUCACGUGUUUUUUGAUCCGCGUAACACUUCUGUCUGGAUUGUGCGGUGCGAAGUCGCUCCUAAAUCAAAUUUACCUUUUCCAAGGCAUCCUUCACUAAAUCAGUAUCGUAUCACCUAGCCUCGCUGGGCUCAAACCAUUCGAUGGGAGAACGACAUCGUAGACCAUAUAAAGCCUAAAAUGGAGCCAUCUUGAUGCUGGACUGAUAAUUGUUGUUGUAAACAAACUCGGCCAAGGGAAAAAAUCUAUCCCACUGACAUCCGAACUCAAUGACACAUGCUUUGCGCAUAUCUUCUAGAAUCUGAACCUUCCGCUCCGACUGCCCGACAGUCUGCAGAUGAAAAGUUGUGCUGAGCUCUACUUAUGUACCCAACUCACUAUGUAUUGCCCUCCAAAAAUGCGAAGUAAAGUGAGGGCCUCUAUCUGAUAUGAUGGAAACAAGCACACCAUGCAACCAGACAAUCUAUUGAAUGUAAAUCUCGGCCAACAUCUCUGAAGAGUAAGUAGUCAACACUAGAAUAAAAUGUGCCGACUUGGUCAACCUGUCGAUAAUGACACAAACGGCAUCAAACUUCCUCAACGUCUGCGGUAACCCAACCACGAAGUCCAUAAUGAUGUGCUCCCACUUCUAUUCUAGUAUAACCAUCUGCUGGAGUAGGCCACCUGGCCUCCGGUGCUAAUACUUGACCUGCUAGUAGUUUAGACACCUCGCCACAUACUCGACUUUGUCCUUCUUCAUAUGCCGCCACCAAUAAUGUUGCCUCAGGUCGCGAUACAUCUUCGUAGCCCCUAGAUGAAUAGAAUAUCGAGAACUGUGUGCCUCCUCUAGAAUCUUCAUCCUCAAGCCAUCAAUAUUAGGAACACAUAGGCGACCCUGGAGCUGCAGAACACCAUCCUCACCAAUAACAACCUCCUUGGCACCACCCUUUAGUACCGUCUCUCUGAGAACCAACAAGUGUGGAUCAUCGUACUUACGAGCCUUGAUCUGCUUAAGUAAUGAAGACUGAGCCACGACAUAUGCAAGAAUCCGACUGGGCUCUAAAAUAUCCAACCUUACAAGUCUGUUAGCUAAGGACUGAAUGCCCCAAACCAAAGGUCUCUCCUUUUUCAGAAUGAAUUCCAAACUACCCAUACUCUCGUCCUUUUUGCUCAAGGCAUCUGCGACCACGUUUGCCUUGCCGGGAUAAUAAAGAAUGGUAAUAUCAUAGUCCUUUAGUAACUCAAGCCACAUGCGCUAUCUCAAAUUAAGAUCCCUCUGCUUGAACAAAUGCUACAAGUUACGAUGAUCGGUGUAAACCUCACAGGACAUCCCAUAAAGAUAAUGCCUCUAGAUCUUAAAAGCAUGAACUAUUGCAUCCAACUCCAAAUCAUGCAUGGGGUAAUUCUUCUCGUGGGGCUUCAACUGACAUGAAACAUAUGCAAUAACUCGCCCCUCCUGCAUCAGUACACAACCCGAGCCAAUAAAUGAAGCGUCAUAAUACAUAGUAUAUAUCCCUGAACUGGAAGGCAACACUAAAAUCGGUGUUGUAGUCAAGGCCGACUUGAGCUUCUGAAAGCUCGCCUCGCACCAUCUGAAUGGAGCACACUUCUGGGUCAAUCUAGUCAAGGGCGCUGCAAUAGAUUAGAAACCCUCCACGAACCGAUGAUAAUACCCAGUUAAUCCCAAGAAACUCCUGAUCUCGCUCGCCGUGGUAGGACAAAGCCAACCCUGGACUGCCUCAAUCUUCCUGGGAUCCACCUUAAUGCCCUCACCCGAUACAACAUGCCCCAAGAAAACCACAGAAUUCAACCAGAACUCACACUUGGAGAACAUAGUAUAAUGUUUCUGUUACUGCAAGGUCUGAAGCACUAAUCUCAAAUGUUGCUCGUGCUCCCCCAUACUAUGCGAGUAUAUCAAUAUGUCAUCAAUGAAGACAAUGACAAAUGAAUCAAGAUACGUCCUGAACACUCGGUUUAUCAAAUUCAUGAAUGCCGCCGGGGAGUUAGUCAAAUCGAAGAACAUCACCAAAAACUCAUAGUGACCAUAUCUAGUCUUGAAGGUCAUCUUCGGAAUAUCCGAAGCACGGAUCUUCAGCGGAUGAUACCCAGAUCUCAAGUUGAUCUUAGAGAACACCCUAGCACCAUGCAACUGGUCAAAGAAAUCAUCAAUACGCGGCAACGGGUACUUAUUCUUGAUGGUGACUUUGUUCACCUAGCGUUAAACAAUGCACAUCUGCAUACUCCCAUCCUUCCUCUUCACAAACAAAAUCGGUGCACCCCAAGGCGACACACUAGGUCUAAUGAACCCCUUUUCAAGCAACUCCUAAAUCUGCUCCUUUAACUCUCUCUCAGCUCCUUAGGAGCCAUACGAUAAGGCGAAGUAGAAAUGGGCUAGGUGCCCGGCACAAAAUCAAUGCCGAAAUCAAUAUCUCGAUUUGGUGGCAUACCUGGUAGAUCGGCAGGAAAUACGUCGGAAAAUGCUUGUACCACCGGCACUGAAUCUAAAGAGGGAAUCUCUGCAGUAGUAUCACGAACAAAGGCUAAGUAGGCCAAACAACCCUUCUCGGCCAUAUGUUAAGACUUCAAGAAAGAAAUAUCCCAACUGGAAGUAACGACAAAAACCCCUCCACUCUAAUCUGGGCAACUCAGGCAUCGCCAAGGUAACAGUAUUGGCAUGGCAAUCAAGAAUGGCAUGGUACAUGGACAACCAGUCCAUGCCGAAGAUAACCUCUAAAUUGACCAUAUCGAGCAAUAAAAGAUCCGCUCGGGUCUCAUAUCCGCAGAAAGUCACCACACAGGACCGGUAGACCCAAUCCACAACAACAGAAUUACCCACUGGCAGGGACACAUAUACAGGAAUGCCCAAGGACUCACGAGACAUAUCCAAAUAAUGAGCAAAUAGAGAAGAAACAUAGGAGUAAGUAGACCUUGGAUCAAAUAAUACCGAGGCAUCCCUCCGGCAAACAGAAAUUGUACCUGUGAUCACAGCAUCAAAGGUAAUUACCUCUGGCCUGGCGGGGAUAGCAUAGAAUCUAGUUGGAGCGCCACCUAACUAGCCACCACCUCUAGGACGACCCUCGGUUGGCUGACCGGUGUGGUAGCUGGUGUGGUAAGAAUGGGCCGAUAGUCCUGCUGCUCAGCCUUGCCCAGAAGUCUGUGACAAAAUCUCUUCACGUGUCCAAGAUCCCCACACUCAAAACAACCCCUCGAAAUGGAGGACUGCAAACCUGAAGUCUGACCCUGAUGGCCUGAAUACUUACUGGAGGAAUCCUGAAUAGCUGGCGGGCGGUAAGUCUACUCUGGAAUGGCACUGAAAUAGGGUCGUGUUGGAGCACUCUGAGCAGGCGGUGGUGUUGACUUCAUGGGCCUGCUGGGCUGACCCCUCAUGAACUAACCUCUGCCCCCGGGUGGGGAGCCACUAAAUCCUCCAAACUGCUAGGGCCACUUGUCCAUCAGCUCAAACUCUCCACUUCGGUUGUGAAUACGCUCGAUCAUCCGAUCUAUAUCCAUAACCUGAAGAAAAGUAGUCCCCACCUCUGCCUCACGGUCCAUAGGUACCUGAAUCUCAGGGUUCAAACCAAAAAUGAACCUUCAUACCCUCUCUACAUCUGUGGGGAGUAUGAUAGCUGGAUGGCGAGACAAGUCAGUGAAUCUCGCCUCAUAGUCGGUGACCGAGAUGUGACCCUAUUGGAGUCGCUCAAACUGACCUUGAAGCUCCUCUCUCUCGGAAGGUGGUAUGUACUUCUCCAAGAACAUAUGUGUAAACGGAUCCCAAGUCAAGGGAGAUGAACCUGCUGGCCCGCUAAGACGAUAAGCCUGCCACCAUCUACAGGCCUUGCCCUCACACUGAAAAGUGGUGAAGUCCACCCCGUUGGACUCCAAUAUACCCAUGUUUUGGAGCCUAUCCUUGCACUGGUCAAUGAAAUCCUGGGGGUCCUCUGACCACUCACCUCCGAAGGUAGGGGUAAAAUCCUAGUCCAUUUGUCCAACCGCUUCUGCUGAUCAUCAGUCGCGACUGGUACAGCCUCUAGCAUAGUCGCUGCAAUAGGCUGGGCACCGCCCGCAUGUAGUGCACAUGGGAUCUGAUAAAUGACAGUGAUGUACCCUGGAGCCUAAACGGUAGGGGUGUGUGCUCCCCCUCCCGCCCGAUAUAUGGCAGGGUCCGCUGGAAAUAAACCAGCCUGCGUCAUAGAGUCCAUGAACCGCAGCAUACGGCCCAUGACCUCUAGGAAUCCCGGUGUAGUCAUGAAAUCUGCUGGGACUGGCACUGCUGCAGGCGCUUCAUCCUGCUCCUCAGCAACAGGAUCCUCCACUGGAUCAGCUGGUGGUACAAUAGGAGCAACCCUAGGGCGCCCUCGUCCUCAGACUGGAGCUGGAGCCCUCCAACGGCCUCUGCCUCGGCUUCUAGCAAUGGAGGGAGCAGCCCUUCGACCGCCUGGUACAUCCGCCACACGCGUUCUCACCAUUUGUGAGAGGUCAAUAGAAAGACACUUAGUAUAAUAUCAAUUGCACGAUAGGAAAUGAAGAAGAAAACUUUCCUACCACCCUAUAGCCUCUCGAAGAUAAGCACAGACAUCUCCACACCGAUCUGCAAGACUCUACUAAGCUUACUCAUGACUCGUGAGACCUUGUGAACCUAAAGCUCUGAUACCAAGCUAUCACAACCCAAAUCCAUAAUAGGUCGAGAAUGCACCUAACGCUGCCGUUAGGCAAGCCCACAAGUGAAACUACUAAUUAUUUACCCCUUUUAACAUAUUUUAAUACGGAAAUUCCUUCUUUUUAGAGAACAAUUUAACUAGCAUUCAUGCAACUGUGACAAGUCUUUUUAAAAAAACAAUGCCAAUAUAAUAAGUACAUACUCUACGAUGAUAGAAAUAAAGAGUAUAGCAGUAUAUAAAUGCUACAAAUCCCCAAAAUCUGGCAUCCCAAGUACAUGAGCAAUCUUGAGAAUAUACAAAACUACUAAAACUAUUGUCCGAAAGUAAUAGACAGGAAUAGUAAAUAAUGUGGAAGGAGACUCUGGUGCUGCGGAUCGUAGCAAGGCAAGCAGCUCACCACUAAGUCUUCGUAGAUGAUCAGCUACGCGCCCCCGUGACCACUGGUAGAACCUGUCUCAGUACCUGCACAUCAGUGCAGAAGUAUAACGUGAGUACGAAAAAUAACACGUAGCUAGUAAGUAUCUAGUCUAACCUCAAAGAAGUAGUGACGAGGGGUCAACUUUAGGGGUGUUCGUCGGUAGGUAAAAUACGGUAUUUAGACAUUUCGGUUCGGUAUUCGAUUUCUGAAAAUGCUAUAUCAAUACCGUACAUAAUUAAAUUCGGCAUGGUUCGAUUUUUGUCCUUUCAGUUUCGGUUUAAUAGGUUCGGUAACUUCGAUUUAUUCGGUUUGAAUUUUAACUAGUGCAUAGAGUCAUAGACUGUAAUAUUCUUAAUUAAAGUACUCAAAAGUACUAAACUAAAAAUGUUUGUUGACAAAAGUUUGUACAAAACCAGCAAAUAUCAACCCAGAGAGAGAAAACCGUACAUAAAGGAAUAAAUUUGAUCAAUAGAAAUGUCUUGUUACUUACUUAGAGUUAAUUGAUGAACUUGGAGAAUAAAGAAAAGUAAAAUUUUAGAUUUUUUCUAUUUAUAUUAUAAUUAAUAAUAUGUGCAUUGUGUAAUACAAUAUAUAUUUCGGUACGGUAUCGGUAUUUCGGUAUUUUAUUCUAAAAUUCCAAAUACCAUACCGAAUACAAAAAUAUCGAAUACCAAAUACCAAAAUUUUCGGUUUCGGUACGGUAAUUAGAUAUUUACCAAAUUAUGCACAACCCUAGUCGACUUGACACUUACUAGAGGUCAAUAAUAAUAAUAAAAGUGCAUAAAGUAGACAUGGUGAGCAUACAACAGGUAUCAAUGAGACAAAUAAAAGCAACUACAAUAAAUAUAACAGGAGUCCGUAACACAUGACUAACAUCCCGUAACAGGCCGUGAAGGCCCUAACUCAGUUAUAUCCAAGCAGGAACCCGUUUCGAUUAUUAAACAUGAAGUUGUCGAGGCGAGCGGCCCGAUCCCAUAAGAAUAGUGGUACUCAGUAUUGCCGAGGCGAAUGGCCCAAUCCAAUAAGAAUAGUGUUACCAACAUACUGCCGAGGCGAUUGGCCCGAUCCCAUAAGAGUGUUGAUAUCAUACUACCGAGGCGAAUGUCCCUAUCCCAUAAGAGUGGUGUUAUCAUAUUGCCGAGGCGAACGGCCCGAUCCCAUUAUAGUAGAGAAGCUUACCUCACUCACGGAAGUACUUGCGAGACGAGAAGACAUGGAUUUUUUAAUAGUUAUUAAAUGUUCCUAAAUUUUCCGAAAUAAGAAGGUUAAGUCGAUAAUUGCAACUUUAAAUCCCAAGUCUCAACUUUAUUCAACACAGUUAAUAUGCAUGAUAAACACAACAGUACAAUUAAAAGCAUUAUGUUGAAUCUACACGGACAUAUCAUGGAAUAUAGCUACGCAUGGACUCUCAUCACCUCGUGCGUACGUAGCUUCCCACACAAGUAAUACACAACAAAGAUACACCUAAGGGGAUGAGUUCCCUCUUAUAAUGUUAGGCAAGAGACUUACCUCGUUCCCAAGCUUACUUACGGUCCACUAAUCUGCUCUAAAAGCCCCAAGUCGAUGCCGAACAAUCCGAAACUAGUCAAAUAUUAUAUAAUUUAAUCAAUAUAUACUCAAAAGUUCAUAAUUUAGCUAUUAGAGUAAUUACCCAACCCAAAUUGAAAGAUUCCAAAAUUUUACCCCCGGGCCCACGGACCCGGAUUCCGGAAAUGUCUUAAUAUAAUUGUUACCCAUAGCCUCACGAACUUAAAUAUAUAAUUUUUACUUAAUUCCAUAACCAUUUCCGUGGUCAAAUCCCAUUUUUAUCAAAACUUAAGUUUUUCAACUAAACCCAUAUUUUCUAUAAUUUACAUGUUAAGAAUCUACCCAAAAUCCGCGUAUUAAACUCACAUUAAGUAGUAAUUACUUACCUCACGAUGAUGGGUGAAAACUUCCUCUCCAAGACAUCCACAAUCGACCACCUGAAAUGCAAAUGAGAGAAAAAGAACGUAAGUCUGAUUUAAAUGCACCCUCACUGCCCCCAGCGAUUUCGCAUCUGCAGAAGCAUCGCCGCUUCUGCUGGGCUGCUCCUGCGGUCGAUUGUCCGCAUCUACAGAAAAUGCACGACCCAGGACUGAUUGCACCUGCGACCAAGCUCCGCAUCUGCGAGAUUCGCCUCGCGCACCUGCGACCAUGGCUAUACUACCUCCCUCUGCAUCUACAGUCCCUCCAUCGCAUAAGCGAGCUUCUCUUCUGCAGACACUGGCCAGCCCACUCCUAGCCGCUUCUGCAAUCUUUGGCUAGCUUCUGCAAGCUCGCACCUAUGACUAAUUCCACGCAUGUGCGAAAACACCUGACUUGAGGUCACCAGCAGCCCCUUAUGUACAAAUCUAAGUCUGAUUCCAAUCCAUUUCGCAUCAGGGGCCCCCGGGACCCCAUUCAAUCACACUCACACAUCCAAAAACAUAAUACGGACUCGCUCGUGUAGUUGAAACACCAAAACAACAUUUCGAAUUACGAAUUUGGAUGCCAAAAUGCAUGAAUUUGACAUGAAACUCAAAUAUUUCUAAAAAUACUUCCGCGCAUUCGAUUCCUAUCAAAUCAACUCGGAAUGAUGCCAAAUUUUGCGUGCAAGUAUUAAAUUACCAUACAAAACUAUUCCCAGGCUUAGAAUCCCAACGGACCUCGAUAACACCAAAGCCUACUCUAAACCAAACUUAAAGAACUUAGGAAACCAUCAAUGCGCCAACUUUCAAUAUUAAGCGUCGAAACGCUCCCGGGUCAUCCGAAACCUGAUCUGAACACACACCCAAGUUUAAAAUCAUCAUACAAACCUAUUGGGACCAUCAAAUCCCAAAUCUACGUUCGUUUACUCAAAAUAUUAACUCAAGUCAAACUUAACCAUUAUAGGCUACUAUUAAGGAACUAAGUGUUCCGAUUUCAACCCGAACCCCUUUUAAACCUGAACCAACCGUCCCCACAAGUCAUAAAAUAGUAAAACCAUAUACUGGGAGUCUUAAUUAGGAGAACGGGGAUCUAAAAAGUAAAACGACUGAUCGGGUUGUUACAACAUGGGUCCUUCUUAUUACGGACACCGGCACUGGUUUUCGCUAAGGCCUCAGAAAUAGAACAAACAAGUACAUUGAAGGCACCUAUUGAUUCUGUCUAGUCAGAAUCAUCUUUGUCGUCAUAUGUCCCAUCAUUAGAAGUUUGAUGGGCUUUCAUUUGUACCUGUGGGCAUUCAUUGUUCCGAUGUGGCCCGCCGUAAUGAUGGCAUCCUGAAAAGGGCUUCCUCCCUCGAUCGUUGUUGUGAGACGCAACACUAUUGCUACUUCAGGAAGGAGUCUUAGAUUUGGUUGCGCUCAUAUCUCCUCCACUUCUGCUAGGGCCACCAUUGUUAGGCUGGCCCUCUUUGUAUCUUCCUGGGAUAGGUGGAUGAGGCAUAUCCUUCCGAGCUUCCACUUGAUAGUCCCCAAGGUAAUCUGCUGCUUGGAUCUCCUUGGGUAAAGUUUCUACGCUUUCUCUUUGUAGCUUCAUACGAGCAUAAGGUUUCAAACCUUUCAGGAAUGUGAAGAGUUUGUCUUUAUCCCCCAUAUCCUGUAUGUUUAGCAUGAGCGCAAAGAAUUCCCGCACGUAAUCUCGUACUGACUUGGUCUGGCGGAGCUCCCGUAGCUUUCUCCGCGCAUUGUACUUAAUAUUUUCGAGGAAGAACUAUAGGCAUAUGGAUGCCUUCAGUUCUGCCCAUGUCUCGAGAGUAUCUUCACCGACCCUGAUGGCUUCGUAUUUCACCCGCCACCAGAGUUUAGCAUUAACCUGAAGAUACAUGGCAGGAGUUGGUACCUUUUUAGCUUCUUCUAACUCCCCCACAACAUCGAAGUACUAUUCGAUGUCGAAGAUGAAGUUCUCCACUUCUUUGGCAUUCCAAGCUCCAUUGUAUGGUUUUAGCUCAGGAAUCUUCAGCUUUUGUGGCACAGGGGCGAGGUUCACAGCAUUCCCGAUCUGAUUUCUGCCUCCUCGAAUUAGGCCUUGUAGUGCAGCAUUGACAACAUUGAGUUAUCCUAUCAAGUUGUCUAUGGUUUGUUGCAUGGUAGUCACCUUGUCUGCCUCUUGUGCCCUAUAGGCUAAAUCCUCGGUCCGCUCCUGUUGGAGGCCCUCGAAUUUACUUAAAAUUUUGGCUGCCUCUAUGGCUUCCAUUUGCCGGUCUCCUUCAAAGUCGCGUUUGAUGUUCGCAAUGUCACCUUCGGCCUGCCACAUCCUGCGGUCCAGUUCGUCCAACAUUUGCACUAUGUUGGUUCUUAGAUCAGGCACCGUAUUCAUGAUGGGUUGUAAUACGUUAACCGUCUCUUCAAGGGCUGCAAUGUGGUCCCCAUGAUGCACCAUGGUCAGAAAUGGUGGUAAUGGCAAUGUGUUCCCUCGUUCGAUGUCGAGCAUAGGCUCUGAUACCAACUAUUACACGGCGCCUUCAUGAGAUUCCUUGGAAGGGCAACGUAAGACUAGGCAACUGAUGAUCGUACAGUUACUAUUCGCCAAUUGGGGUCCCCUCCGUAUGCUAGACGAGACUGUCAGUGUCGUACGGGAAAACCAAUGUCAAAAGCAAUUGAGAUAACUGAAAAGAGAAUGAGAAUGAAAGAAAGUUUGAUUGCAUUAAUGAAAGCUAUUACAGAAAAGCAAUACGGUGUCGAGGGGGGAGAGACACCAGUACAAAGAAUUAUUUACUUGCUUGAAAGUUUGAUUGCUUGAUCCCCCUAAUAAUGCUUAAAAAAAAAUAAACCAAAGUUACAGAACUUGACCUAACUAAGUUGUGAAGACAUAAUGGAAAUAUAAGAAGUAAAACUACUAUAUAUUUAUAAUGAAACGGACUUAGAUUCCUACAAGGUAGAAGCAGGUCCGUUGGCAGCAACCUUGUAUUUAACAUCACAGCCUGCACGUGCGGCGUUGUUGGCAUCGGCCUGCGACUGGGCUCUGGCGAGGGCUAUCGAUGAGGCGACAUAGGCACAAGCACGCUUGUUACUUGGCGCGGCCAAGACCACAGGAUCGUCCAUGGCUCUAGGCGUUAGAUAAAUACAUGAAUAGUUUCUUCUAAGUAAAAGCGAGAAAUAUCAAGAUUUGCGAUUUUUAUGUGUGUAGGUGUGUUGAUGAGCAAGUUAUUUGCCUUGAAGCUAAUAUUUUCCUGAAAACCGUGUGAGUAUCUUUUUAUCAAUCUUACGUGGGAAAGACGAGAUCCCACAACACAUAUGACCCCCACCCCCUCUCCCAAGUUAAUUCACUAGGAGUCAAAGCUCUUUAUAGCAUGUGGAACUCCAGGGAUUUUUUAGAUCUUUUUGGAGAGCUAAUUACGAAGGCGUUGUCAAUGUAUAUACAACAAAAAUAAAGUUCACUAUCGAUAUUUCUCUACGGAGGUAGUGAUAUAUACAGUUAAGUUAUUUAAUAAUGUGAGUAUAUAUAUUAAUUAACUACAGUUAAGUGAGAAUAGUUUACGUGUAAAUACAUGUCAUGUAUCUAUUGAUUUGAUGUAAGCAUACGGCACAUAUUAGUUUUUACCGAGGGACUGAGCUAGGUGGAAGAAAGGAGUUCAACUAAAUCUUUUUUGUUGAAAAAUUAUAAUUUGCAAAUAAAGUAAAAGCUAAAUACUUUCGUUCUAAAGAGAUUAUUGAAUCCUUUUAAUAUAAAGAAGAAUUUUAGUGAAAGGACAAGGGGUUCAAAAAUUAAUUUUGGUAAUGGUUCAAUUCUAGAUGUGACAUUCUAGUAUAUUUAUGUGAAUCCCUUUAUAUAAAUUCAUGGCUCUUGUCACUGAGCGAGAGAGAUCGAAGCCGCCGCUGCCUAAUUCUCGUUAGUUAAGUAAAACAUUCCUCGUUAAAUUUAAUUCAUCAACACUUCCUAGAAAGUGAAUUAUUUAUAGAUCAAAAGCUGAUUAUAAGAUCGUCGUCUUUACUUGCUGCCCUGUUGGUCUAUCGAAUAAAAAAAUCUAUGGAUCAUAAAAUUUUGCAAUAAACGAAGGAUCUUGAGAGUGUUUUUAAAAAUUGAAGUUUCGACUGAAAGAGAAUGAAAAUUCCUGUCCAAAUUGUCCUAAUUAAUUCUCUCCCUCACCUAAUAGAAAGCCAAGUUGCUAUCGAAGUAUUGGAAUUGAAUGAAAAGGACUAGUAUUAUUUUGCAACGAGUGGAUAUCGAAGUACUUUUUUCUUAACUGCUAUAGGAGAGCCAAAUAAAUUACCAAAUUGGUCUCUAAUGUUUGCAAGUUUUAAUAUAUUAAUCAUCAACAUCAAUUCGUUUUGACCAAAUAUAUAGUGUCUGAUAUAUUGCGAGUACAUUUUAUAAGAGCCAGUAUGCACUAUAAAUAGCAUUUUUUUUCCUAUAUUCAAUUGAACGGUUAUUAAUGGUUUUGAAUUUUGUGUUAAGAAUAAAUUUAUUUGCAUGCAAAUUCAUCAGAAAUAUACGAUCAAGAGAAAAAAUGAAUGAGACAACGGAAUACACUGUCAAAGAGGAAAGGUACAAACGAAAAUGAAGAUUCGUGUUACAAUAUCCCUAAAUGAUAAUUAACUAAGAAAAUCACCCUAACUGAAAUACAGAAAUACCACACCAGAUAUAGUUUAAUAAGUUUAACUUAUAUACGUGUAAAAAAUCUAGUAAAUAGUAUAUAAAUUCUUUACAUUAUUGAUGUAUAUAAGUUAAACUUCGAAUACAUUUGAAUCAAAUUAAAGACUUUUAUUGAAUAUGAUCGCACAAACCAGAAAUUAAAGCAGGUUAAUUAUAUUAAACGGACUACUCAGAAUUGGGAUCAGAAGGGUUAAUCUUUUUCUUGUCGUUCUUGAAAGAGGACACCACAACUUUCACUACCUUUUCAGCAGCCAUGGCUUUCACUGAUUUCUUGUCUUUCUUUGGAAACACACUUCCUUUCUUUGAUGUGCCUUCACCAUAUCCUUUUCCAUUUCCAUUUUUCUCCAUCUCUCUCUUUCUAUGUCUUAGAGUUUAUGUAUGUAUAUGAGAAGUGUAAUCUAUUGUUUUAAUUAGUUG